UAGUCCAUGCCGUAAACGAUGAGUACUAGCCGUUAUUUCUGGUGUAAAAGAAAUAGUGGCGAAGCUAACGCGUUAAGUACUCCGCCUGGGGAUUACGACCGCAAGGUUAAAACUCAAAGGAAUUGACGGGGACCCGCACAAGCGGUGGAGCAUGUGGUUUAAUUCGAUGCAACACGAAAAACCUUGCCUGCCCUUGACAUACUAAGAAAGUUUAAGAGAUUAAACUGUGCCUUUUGGAACUUAGAUACAGGUGCUGCAUGGCUGUCGUCAGCUCGUGUUGUGAAAUGUUGGGUUAAGUCCCGCAACGAGCGCAACCCUUAUUUUAGUUGCCAUCAUUAAGUUGGGCACUUUAAAAGACUGCCGUUUGACAAAACGGNGGAAGGCGAGGAUGACGUCAAGUCAUUAUGGCCCUUAUGGGCAGGGCUACACACGUGCUACAAUGGACGUUACAGAGGGAUGCGAAAGAGCAAGUCUGGAGCGAAAACCCACAAAGACGUUCGUAGUCCGGAUUGUACUCUGCAACUCGAGUACA
rnacentral:rRNA from 1 species